UGCUUUAGGCUCUGUGACAUCCAC
rnacentral:piRNA from 1 species